rnacentral:lncRNA from 1 species
CUUAAAUAUAAGGUUAUGUGAGUUUUUCUCUUGAACUGUCCACAAGAUGAAUAUUGUAAUUCAUAUAGCUAAGAAAUAUUCUAGCACACAAUGUCUCGCACACAUAUAGUGAUAGGUAUCAUUCACAUUUGUAAUGCAAAAAUUCUAGGAUGCACAAAUAUUUUAUGUUUAAACUGUGCAAAAUAUGUUUUACAAUGAUUAUUGUCCAAAAAAUAUGUCUAGUUUGAACAUCUGCCAUGAAUGGAAACUUGGUUAUUUGCAUAUCACUAAUGUGACAUAAAAGUGAGAAGGCUAUAGAGAGAAACAGACAAAAUAUUACCAUCAUAGCAUGCAGUUUUUCACUAUACACACACACACACUUAAAAAAGCCCUAGAUAAAAUCCAAGAGUGUUUGCCAACCCUUUUUUUUUUAAAAAACUAAUUUUGGAGAGGAGUAAUUAGGAAAUUGUGUCAGCAUGUUUGUCUCAGGGAAACAACAGCUGAUCUAUGUGUGUGUGUGUAGGCACAUUGUGUUGCAGUUGUACGUGGGCUAACACAUGGUAGAGCAGCCCAGCUCUGACAGCCUGAGAGCAGAGAGAGAGAGAGGAUGAAGAGAAGGAGGGGGAAAGGAGAGAGUAAUAGCAUGACAGAAAGCGAGAGAAUCCGAGAGUUGAAGAGAGAGAGAGAGGAGGGGCAGCCUGCCAGUGAAUGGUAACACAGGAUCAACUCUCAACCUACGGUAACUGCACACACACACACUCGUUACACACACAUGCAACCAUGCUGGAAUGAACGGACUGAAUUGUGGUCAGCGCAUCCCAACUAAAAGCAUCAGCAGAAGGCAACCGGAUCAUAAUGGAGGAAGAAACCCUGCUCCGAGAGAGACUGCAGGCUAUAACAGUGAGUAUCAGGCUGGAUUUGUAUUCUUUUUGGUUUUGUGUAAAAGGCCAUUUAGGUUUUAUAUUGGCAAGUGAAAUAUUAUCACUGUAUAUAUAUUGUUAUUUGACUUUGUUGUCAAGUUGAUACUCACAAAACCUGUCUGAAACGUACAGUAUAUAACACAUGAAUUUUGCAUUGUUAUAUCUGGUAAUCUUGAUAAGGUGAGAGUUUUUAUUGUGUUAUUUAACUAAAAUCAGGAAAAAGUAACUCUCUUGUAGUCUUAACACUUCUAUAUGCUUAAUGAUAUGAACCACUCAACCAUUACUGGCCAAUCAACAAAUCUGAGAGAUUAAUCUAUGUUUAUCUACUUAAAAGUUUGUUGGUUUCUGUCAGUAUAUGAACUCUAUUAAAGAACACUUGAAGAGUGUUUAUGGAGAAAUCGGUCCAUGUGUUAUUUCUGUCCACACUCAGCCUUUGAGCUGUUCAUUUUAUACAUGAAGAUAUUAGAGAGUUAAAACUAUUAGAGAGUUAAAAAUAAUGCUGCAAAGCCUUCUUCUCAAAAAGACUAUAUUAAUUCUCUCUAGCCUGCAUGCUUGUGGAAACAGCAAGACAUUUAACUCCACUUAUAGAAAAAUAAACAACAAAAUAAUAUAUACAUAUGCAUGCAUAUAUGUUUAAAGAGAUAUAUAGUAUUAAUAA